rnacentral:rRNA from 1 species
CCUACGGGUGGCUGCAGUGAGGAAUAUUGGUCAAUGGGCGCGAGCCUGAACCAGCCAAGUCGCGUGAGGGAAGACGGUCCUAUGGAUUGUAAACCUCUUUUGUCGGGGAGCAAAAGCCGCCACGCGUGGCGUUCCGAGAGUACCCGAAGAACAAGCAUCGGCUAACUCCGUGCCAGCAGCCGCGGUAAUACGGAGGAUGCGAGCGUUAUCCGGAUGUAUUGGGUUUAAAGGGUGCGCAGGCGGAAGAUCAAGUCAGCGGUAAAAGUGAGAGGCUCAACCUCUUCGAGCCGUUGAAACUGGUGUUCUUGAGUGAGUGAGAAGUAUGCGGAAUGCGUGGUGUAGCGGUGAAAUGCAUAGAUAUCACGCAGAACUCCGAUUGCGAAGGCAGCAUACCGGCGCUCAACUGACGCUCAUGCACGAAAGUGUGGGUAUCGAACAGGAUUAGAUACCCUUGUAGUC